GACGAACCGAGCGAACGUUGUCCAGAAUUAUUGGGCGUAAAGAGCUCGUCGGCGGUUUGUUGCGUCGGCUGUGAAAUCCCGAGGCUCAACCUCGGGUCUGCAGUCGAUACGAGCAAACUAGAGUGUUGCAGGGGAGACUGGAAUUCCUGGUGUAGCGGUGAAAUGCGCAGAUAUCAGGAGGAACACCAGUGGCGAAGGCGGCGAUCUGGGUCGAUACUGACGCUGAGGUGCGAAAGCGUGGGGAGCAAACAGG
rnacentral:rRNA from 1 species